rnacentral:rRNA from 1 species
UGACCGAGCAACGCCGCGUGAGUGAUGAAGGUUUUCGGAUCGUAAAGCUCUGUUGUAAGGGAAGAAUGGCGCGGAUAGACUCCGCGAUUGACGGUACCUUACCAGAAAGCCACGGCUAACUACGUGCCAGCAGCCGCGGUAAU